rnacentral:rRNA from 1 species
UGGGGAAUAUUGCACAAUGGGCGCAAGCCUGAUGCAGCCAUGCCGCGUGUAUGAAGAAGGCCUUCGGGUUGUAAAGUACUUUCAGUCGGGAGGAAGGUGGUAAGGUUAAUAACCUUGGCAAUUGACGUUACCGACAGAAGAAGCACCGGCUAACUCCGUGCCAGCAGCCGCGGUAAUACGGAGGGUGCAAGCGUUAAUCGGAAUUACUGGGCGUAAAGCGCACGCAGGCGGUUGAUUGAGUCAGAUGUGAAAUCCCCGGGCUUAACCCGGGAAUUGCAUCUGAUACUGGUCAGCUAGAGUCUUGUAGAGGGGGGUAGAAUUCCAUGUGUAGCGGUGAAAUGCGUAGAGAUGUGGAGGAAUACCGGUGGCGAAGGCGGCCCCCUGGACGAAGACUGACGCUCAGGUGCGAAAGCGUGGGGAGCAAACAGG